rnacentral:rRNA from 1 species
CCUACGGGAGGCAGCAGUGGGGAAUAUUGCACAAUGGGGGAAACCCUGAUGCAGCGACGCCGCGUGAGUGAAGAAGUAUUUCGGUACGUAAAGCUCUAUCAGCAGGGAAGAAAAUGACGGUACCUGACUAAGAAGCCCCGGCUAACUACGUGCCAGCAGCCGCGGUAAUACGUAGGGGGCAAGCGUUAUCCGGAUUUACUGGGUGUAAAGGGAGCGUAGACGGCAGCGCAAGUCUGGAGUGAAAUCCCAUGGCUUAACCAUGGAACUGCUGUGGAAACUGUGCAGCUAGAGUGCAGGAGAGGUAAGCGGAAUUCCUAGUGUAGCGGUGAAAUGCGUAGAUAUUAGGAGGAACACCAGUGGCGAAGGCGGCUUACUGGACUGUAACUGACGUUGAGGCUCGAAAGCGUGGGGAGCAAACAGGAUUAGAUACCCGGGUAGUC